UACAGAGGGUGCAAGCGUUAAUCGGAAUUACUGGGCGUAAAGCGAGCGUAGGUGGCCUGAUAAGUCAGAUGUGAAAGCCCCGGGCUUAACCUGGGAACGGCAUCUGAUACUGGUCAGCUAGAGUCUUGUAGAGGGGGGUAGAAUUCCAUGUGUAGCGGUGAAAUGCGUAGAGAUGUGGAGGAAUACCGGUGGCGAAGGCGACUUACUGGGCUCAUUCUGACGCUGAGGAACGAAAGCGCGGGUAGCAAACAGG
rnacentral:rRNA from 1 species